rnacentral:rRNA from 1 species
GACGAACGCUGGCGGCGUGCCUAAUACAUGCAAGUCGAGCGCAGGAAGCCGUUCCGAACCCUCCGGGGGGACGAACGGUGGAAUGAGCGGCGGACGGGUGAGUAACACGUAAAGAACCUGCCCAUAGGUCUGGGAUAACCACGAGAAAUCGGGGCUAAUACCGGAUGUGUCAUCGGACCGCAUGGUCCGAUGAUGAAAGGCGCUCCGGCGUCGCCCAUGGAUGGCUUUGCGGUGCAUUAGCUAGUUGGUGGGGUAACGGCCCACCAAGGCGACGAUGCAUAGCCGACCUGAGAGGGUGAUCGGCCACACUGGGACUGAGACACGGCCCAGACUCCUACGGGAGGCAGCAGUAGGGAAUCUUCCACAAUGGACGAAAGUCUGAUGGAGCAACGCCGCGUGAACGAUGAAGGCUUUCGGGUCGUAAAGUUCUGUCGUAAGGGAAGAACAAGUGCCGCAGGCAAUGGCGGCACCUUGACGGUACCUUGCGAGAAAGCCACGGCUAACUACGUGCCAGCAGCCGCGGUAA